ensembl:lncRNA LINC00339 long intergenic non-protein coding RNA 339
GGUGCAAAGGCUUAAGGGUGUAACCUCAGAAUGGGGCCCUGAAUCAGCUGUGGGCGAGCUCCUAGAGUAUCUUAAUUCCUGCUUCAUCUCUUUCCAUUUUGCAGUUGGGCAAACUGCGGCUCAGAAAGAUAAAGAACUUCUCCGGAGCGAAAAAGCUGCUAAGAAUGUAUCCAAAACUCCGCACGAAGUCUGGAACGUUUUUUCUUAGAGUUCCAGAAUUGAGACUGAAGUGUACCCAGAGACACAAAGAAAUACAGAAGUCCAGAAUGAUCAAAUGAGAUCACUACCCAAUGAAAUGAUGGGCCGAGGAGCCAGAAGUUGUCCUACUACCUGCUUUCCAGGUCCAGAUUCCACGAGAGCCUUCUGGGCUCCCACCAGAGACCCUCAGUGAAGACUCUGUUGAAGACUUUAAGACCAUGCUAGAAAGCCUCCCGGCAGAGGUUCAGGAAGUUCUGCUAUGAGGAUGCAGCUGGCCCCAGGGAUGUCCUCAGGCAUCUCUAGGACCUUGCUGGACGGUGGUGGCUGAGACCUGAUAUCCACACAAAGGAGCAGACUGUGGAAAUGCUGGUGCAGGAGCAAUUCCAGGCUGUCCUGCCCGAGGAGCUCAGAGCUCAAGCACAGAGAUGUCAGCCUGGAAUCAGAAUCACUGGCUAAGUCUUGCUGCUUGCUUCUUGCUCAGCCUGCAUAUGAGAAGUCAACCAAGCAUUCUCUUGGAUGCAAGAUCCAACUGCACCCAUGGGAAAUCUGAACUUCCACUUUCUUUGAGCUUGUCUUUGGUUGUAAUAAGAAUCCAUCAAAACCCAUGUCUGGAUCUCUCUUUGGCUGAGGCAGCUUUAUUUCCUACAGAAAGAGUUUCUCUGUCCUCUUGUUAGGACAAUCAGCCUGCUGCUUUGGGCUUUUCCAAGAGCCUAUUUUUCAUCUGCUGGAUG